rnacentral:rRNA from 1 species
CGAUUCCGGAGAGGGAGCCUGAGAAACGGCUACCACAUCUAAGGAAGGCAGCAGGCGCGCAAAUUACCCAAUCCCGGCUCGGGGAGGUAGUGACAAAAAAUAACAAUGCGGGACUCUUAUGAGGCUUCGUAAUUGGAAUGAGUACAUUCUAAAUCCUUUAACGAGGAACUAUUGGAGGGCAAGUCUGGUGCCAGCAGCCGCGGUAAUUCCAGCUCCAAUAGCGUAUAUUAAAGUUGUUGCGUCUAAAAAGCUCGUAGUUUGAAAACUUGCCUUGGCUUACAACAGACGUCUAAGGGCGUCACCUUUUGUCGAGAGCAAAUAUGGGUGACUGUUCUUGCCUUCUUCACUGAUUGGCUCGUAAAAGUCAUCGAAGAUCACUUUGAUUAAAUUAGGGUGCUCAAAGCAAGUGUGCUACUUGAAUAUGAAUGCAUGGAAUGAUGGAAUAUGUUGUUGUUCUAUUUGUUGGUUUUUUGAAUGACGAAAUGAUUGAAAGGAACUGUUGGGGGCAUUCGUAUUGUUGUGAGAGAGGUGAAAUUCUUAGACCAUAGCAAGACGAACUACUGCGAAAGCAUUUGCCAAGAAUGUUUUCAUUGAUCAAGAACGAAAGUUAGAGGUUCGAAGGCGAUCAGAUACCGCCCUAGUUCUAACCAUAAACUAUGCCGACUAGCAAUUUGCUUUGUAUUUUUAUGACUAAGUGAGAGGCCACGGGAAACCAAAGUAGGGUUAUGGGGGAAGUAUGGUUGCAAAGCUGAAACUUAAAGGAAUUGACGGAAGGGCACCACCAGGAGUGGAGCCUGCGGCUUAAUUUGACCCAACACGGGAAAACUUACCUGGUCCUGACACUAGAAGGAUUGACAGAUUGAUAGCUCUUUCUUGAUUUGGUGGAUGGUGGUGCAUGGCCGUUCUUAGUUGGUGGAGUGAUUUGUCUGGUUAAUUCCGAUAACGAACGAGACUCUAGCCUAUUAAAUAAUAUGCGGAAUCAAUUUCUCCCGCGUUAUUUCUUAAUGGGAUCAAGCGUGUUUAACGCUUUGAAACAGAGCAAUAACAGGUCUGUGAUGCCCUUAGAUGUUCGGGGCUGCACGCGCGCUACAUUGAAGAACAAAGUGAGCCCUCUGGCUUUUAACAAAGCUAGAAAUCUUUUAAUGUUCUUCUUAAUGGGGAUAGGGGAUUGCAAUUGUGCCCCUUGAACGAGGAAUUCCCAGUAAGUGCUAGUCAUUAGCUAGUACUGAUUACGUCCCUGCCCUUUGUACACACCGCCCGUCGCUACUACCGAUUGAAUAGUUUAGUGAGAUCAUCUGAGUGUUUGUAUGUGCAUUCUGUGCUUGUAUGGUGUACGAAGAAGAUCAAACUUGAUUAUUUAGAGGAAGUAAAAGUCGUAACAAGGUU